AUUCUAAAUACAGAAAACUACUGUAUAACUAUCCAUACAAUGUCACCAUCUAUUUAAAUUAUUCUUGCACAUUGCACUCUCAACUCUAUCAGUUUAACGGACAUAUUGUUAUAACAUGCAUCUUUCUACUCCUCAAAUACCCCUGAUGGAUUAUCAUCUGUAGGACUCCCCCUAAAGGCCGGGAGGACUUCGUCGUGUUGACUGGAUAUGCAGCGGUUUAGACGCCGGAGCCGGCAACACAUUUUAACACUUCAACAAAGCACUAUUGGGAGCAGGCCUAUUUAUAGCUGACUACCGCCACCACCACCCUGCAGCCUGAAAGUCACACCAGGAGAUUUUGGGAGGGAAGUCCUUGAGCUACUCUGUCAAUGCGAAGCAUUGCAGUGACAAUUUUGCAGAUGAGGUUGGUCACUGUGAAGACGCACUGCACCGUUCCCUACGCUAAAGCACAAGCUACAUCCGUCAAAGACAGAUAGUAAGUACAUACUGUCAGAAAUCCAGUGCGUGUACAUAUCUCAUCCCAUGUGCACACACAUGCCCAUGUAUGUACACAACUUCUAAUUCUAUUAUCAACUGUAGUAGUGCAUUUGUUAUCAUUGUCACAUGGUGUGCUGUCAUUACAAUUAUUAUAUGUUAAUCUUUAUGUGAUGGGGGCACUUUUGCUACAAUACUAAGCACAUAGCAAGAAGAGCUGCUGUAUCACAGUUGCAGUUAUCACUUUAGAGUGAAGGGGAGGAAAAUAGGUUAAUAUAAAAACUUACUUUUGUAUCUUUUUGAGAAAGUUCCGGAAAGAUAAUAAUUAUCCACUCCUGGCUACUGUACAGUGUCUUCUGUUUGCUCUGUGAAAUUCCCAACCAUAGAAACCAAAACACACUAAAUUAUCUGGUGUGCAUCUCUUAACACUGCAAGUCCUACUCCGCUGCUCACUGAUGUUCUCUGGAAUAAGGAGGGAACUCUGCUCACAGCUCCCAGGCUCUCAGCCAAUCUUGUCAGAGUGGUUCCUGCCCCUUGGCCAAUCAUGUGCCUCUCAGCCCCUCCUCUUCCUCCUCCCACUGAAAGUUCCCAGGGUUGUAGUUGUGCACAAACUCAAAAAGAGAAGAGAGGGAAGGGGUUUAUGAAAGAGAGUGCCGAAGAGGGGAGUAAGACAGAGUGGGAAGGAUUGCUGUGGUAUUUGCAGAAUGGAAGAUGUUAGAUCUGAGCACUUGAUAAAACAUUUCCAUUAGAAAAGAGUAAUGUCAGACAGAGUAAGAUGACAAAACUAUGUAAAUUGUGUAAUCUGCAAAUGGUUGCCAAAGAUCUAUCAACCUGGUUAUACAGCUAACACGUCUUUACUCAUUUAUUUGUCAUUAUAAUUGAUUCUGAUGAAUGAAUAUUUAAAAAUGCAGAUUCCGAUAGAUCGGGAAAUGCCUAAUGUUGGCCGAUAUAUCGAUUGGGCUCUAGUAUGGAUACAUACUUUCCUUUUGGUAUAUAAAUACAUGUAAUACAAACCAUCAAAAACUUUUUAUGAACAAUUAAUUAGGUACAUUUUCAUGUUUUCCAUGUUUUCCGUACAUUGGGGGGGGGGGGGGAGAAGAGGAAAAACUGAACUUUAUCUCCCAAGUUGAAUUGACCAUGUAGGAUGUAAAUUUAACAUUUCAUAUUUGUUUUCAGAUUAUCUUCCUCACUGGUUCCUCCUCUUAAUCUGAUGAACCAUCAUGUGGCAAAACUUUAGACUUCACCUCUCUCCCUCUUGUACUGUAGAAACUGCGGAAAGAAAUUCCCUGAAAACGUGUGUGCAAUGGCGAAUUCAUCAAUAAUACACAUUUAAGAGUAAAAU